rnacentral:lncRNA from 1 species
CGCCUGUCUGGCAAGCACAAGGUCCCGAGUUCGAUUCCCUAAUACCUACAUAAAUAAAAUAAAAUAAAAAGCAUCGUGGGCUAUCAGGACUUUAAAAAGCACGCUGGGCUAUCACCCCUCUUCGCGAAAGCCCACCCUACACUAUAGGGUGUAUUUAAAUUUUUGCUCUCUUUUUACUUGGCCCAAACUCGCUGUGCAGAGCCCUAUUUUCCCUUACCCUUCUGUUUUAUUUACUAUCUUUAACAAAUGUGAAACUUUGGCACCGUUAAAAAAAAAAAAAAAAAAAGCGGGGGCCUGGGGAUAUAGUUCAGCUGCACAGCGCCUGCCCGGCAAGUGCAAGAUUGUGAGUUUGAUUCCCGGUUUAUAUUCCUUUUUUGUUGUUGUUCUUUUUGAGACAGGGU